UACAGAGACUGCAAGCGUUAUUCGGAUUCACUGGGCGUAAAGGGUGCGCAGGCGGCCAGGUGUGUGAGGUGUGAAAGCCCGGGGCUUAACCCCGGAAUUGCACCUCAAACUACAUGGCUAGAGCAUUGGAGAGGGUAGCAGAAUUCACGGUGUAGCAGUGAAAUGCGUAGAUAUCGUGAGGAAUACCAGAGGCGAAGGCGGCUACCUGGACAAUUGCUGACGCUCAGGCACGAAAGCGGGGGGAGCAAAAGGGAUUAGUUGCCCCUGUAGUCCACGCCCUAAACGGUGCACACUAGGUCUUGGCGGAUUCGACCCCGCCAGGGCGCAAGCGAACGCGUUAAGUGUGCCGCCUGAGGAUUACGGCCGCAAGGCUA
rnacentral:rRNA from 1 species